AACGUAGGACACAAGCGUUAUCCGGAGUUACUGGGCGUAAAGGGCGUGUAGGCGGACGUGUAAGUCUAUUCUGAAAGCUCCUGGCUAAACUGGGAGAGGCGAAUGGAGACUGCAUAUCUAGAGUGAGGAAGAGGAAAGUGGAAUUCCGCGUGUAGUGGUGGAAUGCGUAGAGAUGCGGAGGAACACCAGUGGCGAAAGCGACUUUCUGGUCCUUAACUGACGCUGAGGCGCGAAAACAUGGGGAGCGAACGGG
rnacentral:rRNA from 1 species